rnacentral:rRNA from 1 species
GAACUAGUACUACUACUCAUGUUGUUGUCCGCUGGAGCAUCUGCAGCAGCAGCAGGUGACCCAGGUCCAGCGACGAUAGGGAUGCCCAACUGCGUCACGUCCUGCGGCGGCGUGGACGUGCCGUACCCGUUCGGCCUUGGCCCGGACCCCAGCUGCUACCUGCCAGGGUUCAACCUCACCUGCGACACUACCGGCGGCGACGCACGGCUGCUGCUCGACGGCGACGCCACUCUCCAGGUCAUGUCGAUCGAGUUUUCCUCUUUAAUGGCGCAACACAACGGUGACAUCAAAAUCGACUUCGACGCCGAUGGCAACGGCAAGGGCACGUUCAGCACCGGCCUUUGGGACGAUGAAGACGGGCCCUACACCCUAUCAUCGUGGAACGAGCUCAUCUUGACGGGCUGCAACGUGCAGGCGACGGUGAAGAGUGGCAACGUCACUCUUGCCAGCUGCACCUCGCUCUGCCAGGGUCUUCGACCUGCUGCACGCAUGACACCCGAUGCCGUCGUGGAAUGCUCCGGCGGAACAGGCUGCUGCCGUGCGGAUAUCGUCAUGGACCCAUUCGCCCCCGGUGACCAGGAGGCCAAAGUAUACCGCAGCAGUAGCAUGUCCGACUAUGACGUGCAGCUCACAUCGUUGGGUCUUGGGAACCGUAGCGCAGACAUGGAGCGAUUUCCCGUGCAUGUGUUCAUCGCCAACCAUGGGUGGUUCCAAAACACCUCCGUCUAUAAUGACAUGCUACAGGCAGGUCAGCAAAUGGCAGUUCCCGUUUCCUUUGACUGGGAGAUUGUUGGAAAUCACAGCUUCUGCGACGGCAACCGAAUCGAACGCAUGAAAACAAGGAGAGGAGGCUAUUUCUGCACCUGCAAACGCGGUUACCAAGGCGGCAAUCUCUACCUUCCAGGCGGAUGCAAAGAUGAUAACGAGUGCGAGUGGUCACCAAGUAAAAGUGGAUGUUACGGCGAAUGUAUAAACACAGAAGGAUCAUUCAUGUGCCGGUGCCCGCCAGGAACCACUGGCAACCAUGCCAUACCCGAUGGGUGCUAUGCUAUCAGCGCUAACAGAGGUAGCUGCUUGGCGUCUUGUGGGGACGUGGAC